rnacentral:lncRNA from 1 species
CAGAUUUUCACUGUUUCUGAAAACCGUUUUCAAGGAACAAUCCCUAAAAGCUUGAGAAAUUGCACAAGCUUAAUCCGAGUACGGCUUGAUGGAAACAACCUUACUGGAAAUAUUUCAAAAGCUUUCGGCAUUUAUCCUAACCUGACUUUCAUAGAUCUCAGCCGCAAUAAUUUUUACGGUGAAAUCUCGUCUAACUUUGGGGAAUGCCCAAAAUUAGGCGCUCUCAACAUUUCGAGGAAUAACAUUACUGGAGGUAUACCGUGUGAGAUUGGAAACUGGUCUCAACUACAAGCACUCGAUCUUUCAUUGAAUCAUAUAGUUGGGGAGAUUCCAAAGGAACUUGGGAAGUUAAAUUCGCUAACCAAGCUCAUUUUGAGAGGGAAUCAACUUACAGGACGCCUGCCUACAGAAAUCGGCGCAUUCAAUGAACUUGAAUACCUCGACUUAUCUGCAAAUAGAUUCAACAAUUCAGUCCCAGAAAGUCUCGGCCACUUGCUGAAAUUGCACUACUUGGAUUUAAGCAACAACCAGUUUGUCCAAGAAUUGCCAAAGGAAUUGGAGAAGCUAGUUCAACUUUCAGAAUUAGAUGCAAGUCAUAACCUCUUUGGAGGAGAGAUACCAUUUCAAAUAUGCAGUUUGAAAAGCUUGGAAAAGUUGAAUCUCUCCCACAAUAAUCUCUCUGGUUCGAUUCCAAAUUGCUUUGAGGGAAUGCACGGUCUAUCAGUCAUUGACAUUUCUGAUAAUCAAUUGCAAGGCCCAGUUCCAAAUAGCACAGCAUUUCGGAAUGCCCCAGUGGAAGCGUUAGAGGGGAAUAAGGAAUUGUGUGGAAGUGUGAAAGGAAUGCAACCAUGCAAAGUUUUCUCGUCACACAAGCAAAAUUCUGGAGCCAAGUGGUUUGCAAUAGUGUUCCCUGUUUUAGGAGCAUUAUUUGUUUCAAUGGCGUUGAUAGCAAUUUUCAUUCUUCAAAAGCGGAAGUCAGACUCAGGAGAUCGACAGAGUAGCAACCAGAACCCUCAGGGAUUGCUUUCUAUAUUCAAGUUUGAAGGCAAACUUGUGUACGAUGAAAUUGUUAGAGCAACAAAUGAUUUUGCAGAUUUUCACUGUUUCUGAAAACCGUUUUCAAGGAACAAUCCCUAAAAGCUUGAGAAAUUGCACAAGCUUAAUCCGAGUACGGCUUGAUGGAAACAACCUUACUGGAAAUAUUUCAAAAGCUUUCGGCAUUUAUCCUAACCUGACUUUCAUAGAUCUCAGCCGCAAUAAUUUUUACGGUGAAAUCUCGUCUAACUUUGGGGAAUGCCCAAAAUUAGGCGCUCUCAACAUUUCGAGGAAUAACAUUACUGGAGGUAUACCGUGUG